rnacentral:rRNA from 1 species
GACGAACGCUGGCGGCGUGCCUAAUACAUGCAAGUCGAGCGAAGCGGCGGAUUGGUGAGUAACGCGUGGGUAAGAUGCCCUUAAGUCUGGGAUACCAUUUGGAAACGGAGGCUAAUACCGGAUACUAAAGGAUGGACCUGCGAUGCAUUAGCUAGUUGGUAAGGUAUCGGCGUACCAAGGCGAUGAUGCAUAGCCGAGUUGAGCGACUGAAAGGCCAGCUUGGGACUGAGACACGGCCCAAACUCCUACGGUAGGCAGCAGUAGGGAAUCUGCCACAAUGGACGAAAGUCUGAUGGAGCAACGCCGCGUGAGUGAAGAAGGUUUUCGGAUCGUAAAGCUCUGUUGUUGGUGAAUCGGUAAUCAACCAGAAAGUCACGGCUAACUACGUGCCAGCAGCCGCGGUAAUUC